AGUAGCUGUGUCACAGUGGGCAUGGGCUAUAAUAUCCUAGUCCUAGCUGCCUGGAAGUCAGUAUCCUGCUAGCAGCCUUCAGAUGACGAUGUAGAACUCUCAGCUCCUCCUGCACCAUGCCUGUCUGGAUGCUGCCAUGUUCCUGCCCUGCUGAUAAUGGACUGAGCCUCUGAUCCUGAUCUCCGCGGCUACCUCACGCUCACAGCCAGCCUUCAAACAGCAUAGCAGAUGUAGCCAGCACUUGAAAUCCUGCAGGCCGAAGGGCUGUGUGAAGCCACUUGACAGCAUCCAGGAGUUUUCAAGAAGGUUCUGAGGAACAGAGACUUCAGUUAGAGUGUGUCCUGAUGUGUGUCUCACACAAGGAAGAACUGUGAACAGUCCUUAACAAAUCCUAUGGGGACUUGGGUUCUCUGUG